CAUCCUUACCAAGAAGAAGAGUUUGAUGCGUACAUGUCAAAAGUGUGUCUUGAAGAGGAAAGAAUGAUUGUGAUGAGGGAGAUGCGACAGCACUGCACCUACCUCAGAAAGCUGACUGGGAACAUCAGGACAAUGACAUCAGAAAUGUCUUCUGGCAGAAACAGUGGUAGUAUACCGUAAGUGAAGAAGGUCAUCGCGGACUACUGUGUCUUCUUCAGAAAAGGCUUGCAGAUGUGGAGGACGAGUUCCCAGUCAUAUGCUCAAGUUACAGCCAGGCUUUAGGACCAAAUGCGGCUUCUCUGCUGGAGGAUGGGCCUGAAGAGAUUCUGGAGGACCAUGAAGAAUUUGAUUAUGAGAGUUCAGAUGACAGUGAAUUUGAAGCAAUGGAAAUUAGUGGUUCUUAACUGGUGGGAUGUGUUGAAGAAUGUGUGUCAGUUGUGAGUGGAUUGCAGGUGUGUUUCAAGAAAAACAACAAACUUUAUUUUGAAGUGUACUGGAUGUCUGAUACAGUGCUUUUAUAUUUUUUAAUGUGAUUUUCCAAAACUCAGCUUACAAACAGCAGGUUGGUUAAGUUCCCCUCCAGCUCCAGUGUUUCACAGACUAUUUCUACAUGCAACUGUGGUGCUACAGGUUGUGAAUUACACCAGCCAUCUUGUCAACAUUAUCACCUUUAAAACCGUUCAUAAUCUAUUCUCCCUACAUUACAUACGUUAAGAAUCUAUGUUACAUAUUACGAUUUCACUAAUUUAAUGCUUUCAGAUUGUUUUAUACUGUACACGCCUGUAUAAUGUUAUUCACAGGUAUUUUGGUCACUUUAGGAGUGAGCCAUUUACUGUAUACUACAUUAAAUAUUUUUUGUAGUGU